AACGAACGCUGGCGGCAGGCUUAACACAUGCAAGUCGAACGCAUCCUUCGGGGUGAGUGGCAGACGGGUGAGUAACGCGUGGGAACGUGCCCUUCAGUUCGGGAUAACCCAGGGAAACUUGGGCUAAUACCGGAUACGUGCGAGAGCAGAAAGAUUUAUCGCUGAAGGAUCGGCCCGCGUCUGAUUAGCUAGUUGGUGGGGUAAUGGCCCACCAAGGCGACGAUCAGUAGCUGGUCUGAGAGGAUGGUCAGCCACAUUGGGACUGAGACACGGCCCAAACUCCUACGGGAGGCAGCAGUGGGGAAUAUUGGACAAUGGGCGCAAGCCUGAUCCAGCCAGGCCGCGUGAGUGAUGAAGGCCGUAGGGUUGUAAAGCUCUUUCGUCCGGGACGAUAAUGACGGUACCGGAAGAAGAAGCCCCGGCUAACUUCGUGCCAGCAGCCGCAGUAA
rnacentral:rRNA from 1 species